GGGAUAAAUUGUUCAAUACUGGAUUAUCCCCGCCUGCAAAAGAGCCAUUUUCGGCUAUCGCCACGCCUUUUGUCUUCAGAAAAAUAAGGCACGGCCUUCAUUUAAGCGUCAGGCUGAUGUUUUUGCUCUUAUUUCGAUCAAUGAAUAAACGGGAAAAC
rnacentral:sRNA from 18 species